rnacentral:rRNA from 1 species
AGAACACAGGGAUGCCUUCGUAACGGCGAAGUGAAGCGGCAACAGCUCAAAUUUGAAAUCUGGCCCCCGCGGUCCGUAGUUGUAAUUUGUAGUAGGAGGCUUUUGGUGCGGUGCCUUCCGAGUUCCCUGGAACGGGACGCCAUAGAGGGUGAGAGCCCCGUCUGGUCGGACACCAAUCCUCUGUAAAGCUCCUUCGACGAGUCGAGUAGUUUGGGAAUGCUGCUCUAAAUGGGAGGUAUAUGUCUUCUAAAGCUAAAUAUAGGCCAGAGACCGAUAGCGCACAAGUAGAGUGAUCGAAAGAUGAAAAGCACUUUGAAAAGAGGGUUAAAUAGUACGUGAAAUUGUUGAAAGGGAAGCGUUUGUGACCAGACUUGGGCUUGGCUAAUCAUCCGGCGUUCUCGCCGGUGCACUUGGCCGGUCCAGGCCAGCAUCAGUUCGCCGUGGGGGAGAAAGGCUUCGGGAAUGUGGCUCCUCGGAGUGUUAUAGCCCGUUGCACAAUACCCUGUGGUGGACUGAGGUUCGCGCAUCUGCAAGGAUGCUGGCGUAAUGGUCAUCAACGACCCGUCUUGAAACACGGACCAAGGAGUCGUCUUCGUAUGCGAGUGUUCGGGUGUCAAACCCCUACGCGUAAUGAAAGUGAACGGAGGUGGGAGCCUCGGCGCACCAUCGACCGAUCCUGAUGUUUUCGGAUGGAUUUGAGUAAGAGCAUACGGGGCCGGACCCGAAAGAAGGUGAACUAUGCCUGUAUAGGGUGAAGCCAGAGGAAACUCUGGUGGAGGCUCGCAGCGGUUCUGACGUGCAAAUCGAUCGUCAAAUAUGG